CAGUGCAGUCAUCGCCACAUAAUCGUCUCUUGAAGAAGAUUUGCUUUUCUAGCACAGUCAAAAUCGUAAACAUUUUGUAAAACUAUGGCGAAUUUCAUGCAAAAUAGUGUAGUGAGCUAUGCCUGCACCUGUGGCCUUGUAAAUCCAAUAACGAAACUAUUUUUCUGUCGUCACUGCUUGAAGCUGAGGUGUGGUUUCUGUGUCUGCCAUGAAGUGGACUCGCAUUUCUGUUCCAAUUGUUUGGAAAACAUACCGUCAUCGGAGGCAAAGCACAAAAAGAAUUGCUGCACCAAUUGUUUCAAUUGUCCUUGCUGUCAACAUACUUUGUCUGCGCGAGCCACCAUGGUUGUAGUACCGAAGAAAACGGAUGACUCUCCAAAGGAGGGAGAAGGUGAUGGCGUUAAGGCCGUAACGAAGAAAAUGUACUAUCUCUCUUGUUUGGGUUGCCGUUGGACAUCGCGCGACGUCGGCAUACCUGAUCAGAAUGUUGCUACUGGUGCAUGGCCAGAAAACGAAUGCUCAUACCAGACGCGUUUUAAUGCAUUGUUGGAAUAUUAUCAGGCGGUCGUUUUGCAAGACAAACAAGAGAAGCAGGAGUAUUUAAGACGUAAAACGCCAAAAGCACACAAAUUCCCAUCCCUGACGGAUCGCACCGGUUUGACCGUUUCGAUGAUACGUCGCCAAAUCGGUUGGCCUGACAAAAACACUCAAAAGGCCAAGCCCGUGAAUAUCACUCCGUCUGUUGCUACAGAUGAGCUUGAAGAUCUACCCGCAGAUGUUUUCACGCAGCCAAUAAAUUUGCGCAACGUAAGCAAUAUUCAGCAACGCCAUGGCCAACCAUCCGAUCAGCCAUUCACUGUGAAUAAGUUGUAUCCACAACGUAGAAUUUUAUGGAUUAAACGUUCCUUGCGCUGCCGUCAAUGUGAGCAUAAUGUGAUUAAACCGGAAUACCAUCCCACCUCGGUGAAGUAUCGCAUACAGCUGUUCGCAAAUUAUCACGUUCCAGACGUUUUACUCGUGCGCAGUGAAGAAGUUUUGCAUGCUGGAAAAUCGGGUUCGAUUAUACUGAAACUCACUAAUCCAACAAUGCACGACAUGUCUAUAAAAAUAAAGGAAUUACCAACGCUUGCUGAAGAAUUGGAAAUGAUUGAAGAGUUUAAACUCGCUUGCAAAAUUAAGGAAAACACAGCAACAAGCGCAGCUGCCGAAUCGCUAAAAUCAAUAACAAGUUCGCCAUCGUUGACGAGCACCACACUUUCAAGACAAACAUCACUUAUAGAGGAUCCACGAAUUGUUCAGCAAAAGGCAAAUGUAAAAUUAAAUAAUAGUGAGUUAAACUUUGUGCUCAAUCAACGCGACGAUUCUACUGAAUUCGAUGAAGAUGUUCAAACGCCGCGUGAGGAACCAGAAUUUAUUAUCUGGCGUAAAUCGAAUAAGGUCUCAAUACGUCUCCCGUUCACAACCGAUGAAUCAUUGAAAGUUGGCGAUUUGGUGAAAGUGGGUUUCACAAUGGAGUAUACAUAUGUAAAUACGGUGACCAACACACCAACUUCUCAUACGUUGAGUGCACGCGUGUUUAUCGAUGCUGGACAAAUAUUAGGAGAAUAAGUUAAUUGUGAAAUAUUUAUGUUUUUAGAGCUAAUUAUUACGCUACAAAAAGAAUAACCCCAGUUUAUUUUCAAAAGAAUAACGGAUCCUUCAAUAUUUAUUAUGUAUGCAUUGUGCACCAGGAGAUGCAUUGCAAUCGAUUAUUUAUGCUAAAUAAAUUGGCUGCUAAGUA
rnacentral:misc_RNA from 1 species